rnacentral:rRNA from 1 species
GAGUUUGAUCAUGGCUCAGAUUGAACGCUGGCGGCAGGCCUAACACAUGCAAGUCGAACGGUAACAGGAAGCAGCUUGCUGCUUUGCUGACGAGUGGCGGACGGGUGAGUAAUGUCUGGGAAACUGCCUGAUGGAGGGGGAUAACUACUGGAAACGGUGGCUAAUACCGCAUAACGUCGCAAGACCAAAGAGGGGGACCUUCGGGCCUCUUGCCAUCAGAUGUGCCCAGAUGGGAUUAGCUUGUUGGUGAGGUAACGGCUCACCAAGGCGACGAUCCCUAGCUGGUCUGAGAGGAUGACCAGCCACACUGGAACUGAGACACGGUCCAGACUCCUACGGGAGGCAGCAGUGGGGAAUAUUGCACAAUGGGCGCAAGCCUGAUGCAGCCAUGCCGCGUGUAUGAAGAAGGCCUUCGGGUUGUAAAGUACUUUCAGCGGGGAGGAAGGUGUUGUGGUUAAUAACCGCAGCAAUUGACGUUACCCGCAGAAGAAGCACCGGCUAACUCCGUGCCAGCAGCCGCGGUAAUACGGAGGGUGCAAGCGUUAAUCGGAAUUACUGGGCGUAAAGCGCACGCAGGCGGUCUGUCAAGUCGGAUGUGAAAUCCCCGGGCUCAACCUGGGAACUGCAUUCGAAACUGGCAGGCUUGAGUCUUGUAGAGGGGGGUAGAAUUCCAGGUGUAGCGGUGAAAUGCGUAGAGAUCUGGAGGAAUACCGGUGGCGAAGGCGGCCCCCUGGACAAAGACUGACGCUCAGGUGCGAAAGCGUGGGGAGCAAACAGGAUUAGAUACCCUGGUAGUCCACGCCGUAAACGAUGUCUACUUGGAGGUUGUGCCCUUGAGGCGUGGCUUCCGGAGCUAACGCGUUAAGUAGACCGCCUGGGGAGUACGGCCGCAAGGUUAAAACUCAAAUGAAUUGACGGGGGCCCGCACAAGCGGUGGAGCAAGUGGUUUAAUUCGAUGCAACGCGAAGAACCUUACCUGGUCUUGACAUCCACAGAAGAAUCCAGAGAUGGAUUUGUGCCUUCGGGAACUGUGAGACAGGUGCUGCAUGGCUGUCGUCAGCUCGUGUUGUGAAAUGUUGGGUUAAGUCCCGCAACGAGCGCAACCCUUAUCCUUUGUUGCCAGCGGUUAGGCCGGGAACUCAAAGGAGACUGCCAGUGAUAAACUGGAGGAAGGUGGGGAUGACGUCAAGUCAUCAUGGCCCUUACGACCAGGGCUACACACGUGCUACAAUGGCGCAUACAAAGAGAAGCGACCUCGCGAGAGCAAGCGGACCUCAUAAAGUGCGUCGUAGUCCGGAUUGGAGUCUGCAACUCGACUCCAUGAAGUCGGAAUCGCUAGUAAUCGUGGAUCAGAAUGCCACGGUGAAUACGUUCCCGGGCCUUGUACACACCGCCCGUCACACCAUGGGAGUGGGUUGCAAAAGAAGUAGGUAGCUUAACCUUCGGGAGGGCGCUUACCACUUUGUGAUUCAUGACUGGGGUGAAGUCGUAACAAGGUAACCGUAGGGGAACCUGCGGUUGGAUCACC